UUAUCAUUUAGAGGAAGGAGAAGUCGUAACAAGGUUUUCGUAGGUGAACCUACAAAAAGAUCAUUGUCGAGGCUUGCGACCAGUAAGACAAGUGAACCGGUGACCCUAACGAGAUGCGCGUAGCUCAGGGAACGCGGCGCCACCCACUCUCCGGGGGGACCACGCGACAAACCACCCCCGUUGCGAUGGGCGCCAAGGAAUUGAGAUGGAAUGUGCGCGGCUCCAUCCGGGGAUGCCGAUGCGCGUUCGGAACUUACAAGACUCAACAAUGGAUAUCUCGACUCUCACAUCGAUGAAGAACGUAGCAAAAUGCGAUACUUGGUGUGAAUUGCAGAAUCUCGUGACCCAUCAAGUCUUUAAAUGCAAGUUGGGCCCGAGGCCACCCGACUGAGGGCACGCCUGCCUGGGCGUCACGCACCUUACUUCCCCACCUGGCGUUCACCCCAUCUAGCGACAAUGCCACGGGUGGAGACUGGCCACCCGUGCGCCCCUCGCGUGCGGCUGGCUGAAAAGCAUUCGAUCCCUUGUUGGGGAGCGGACGUGGUAGUAGGUGGUUUGAGAGGUGGGGGCAAAGCAAGUGGUACCCAACUCGGCUGCCCCUAGGUCCGGCAGGGACACCCACUGAAUUUAAGCAUAUC
rnacentral:misc_RNA from 1 species